rnacentral:rRNA from 1 species
UCAAAAACAUUUCUUUAUAGGGUUACGUAUAAAGUAAAGCCUGCCCACUGAAUUGCCGCGGUAUUAUGACCGUGCUAAGGUAGCAUAAUCAUUAGUCUCUUAAUUAGGGAAUUGUAUGAAUGGCUAAACACACAAAAAUUUUAUUAUCUAGGAGAAAUUGAAUUUUAACUUACAAUGAAAAUGUUGUAGUUUUCUUAUUAGACGAUAAGACCCUAUAGAGCUUAAUUUUUGAGCCCGGUAAGAGAUUUGGGGGGAUCUCUUACCGGGCUCAAUAAUUUGAUUGGGGCAAUCUUAGAAUAAUAAAAACUUCUAAUUAUCUUUUUAUCUUUAAAAUUGAAAAUUUAAAAAGUUACCUUAGGGAUAACAGCGUUAUAAUUUUUGAGAGUUCUUAUCGACAAAAUUGUUUGCGACCUCGAUGUUGAAUUAAAAAAUCUUUUGGGGGCAGUUCUUUAGAAAGAUAGUCUGUUCGACUAUAAAAUUUUUACAUGAUUUGAUUU